AGAGUUUGAUCCUGGCUCAGGAUGAACGCUGGCGGCAUGCCUAAUACAUGCAAGUCGAACGGAGCGAAUAUGGAAGCUUGCUUCUGUAAGAGCUCAGUGGCGAACGGGUGAGUAACACGUAGGUAACCUGCCCAUGUGCCCGGGAUAACUGCUGGAAACGGUAGCUAAAACCGGAUAGGUGAAUAGGAGGCAUCUCGUAUUCAUUAAAGGACCUGCAAAGGUGCGAACAUGGAUGGACCUGCGGCGCAUUAGCUGGUUGGAGUGGUAACGGCACACCAAGGCGACGAUGCGUAGCCGACCUGAGAGGGCGAACGGCCACAUUGGGACUGAGACACGGCCCAAACUCCUACGGGAGGCAGCAGUAGGGAAUUUUCGUCAAUGGGGGGAACCCUGAACGAGCAAUGCCGCGUGAGUGAAGAAGGUCUUCGGAUCGUAAAGCUCUGUUGUAAGUGAAGAACGGUCAGUAGAGGAAAUGAUACUGAAGUGACGGUAGCUUACCAGAAAGCCACGGCUAACUACGUGCCAGCAGCCGCGGUAAUACGUAGGUGGCGAGCGUUAUCCGGAAUCAUUGGGCGUAAAGGGUGCGCAGGUGGUACAUUAAGUCCGAAGUAAAAGGCAGCAGCUCAACUGCUGUUGGCUUUGGAAACUGGUGAACUGGAGUGCAGGAGAGGGCGAUGGAAUUCCAUGUGUAGCGGUAAAAUGCGUAGAUAUAUGGAGGAACACCAGUGGCGAAGGCGGUCGCCUGGCCUGCAACUGACACUGAGGCACGAAAGCGUGGGGAGCAAAUAGGAUUAGAUACCCUAGUAGUCCACGCCGUAAACGAUGAGUACUAAGUGUUGGGAGUCAAAUUUCAGUGCU
rnacentral:rRNA from 1 species